CACACGCACACACACGGUCUUCCUGGUUUUGAAAGAAAGCUUUUAGUCAGACCUUCAGUUAGAUCUAUUUCGACCUCACUCAGACCGUCACCACGGUCUUUACCUUGAAUGAUGUCCUCAUCUCCCUAUCCUCGAGACCAUAUAUCAACAAUGUCACGUGAGUGACCAUAGGGGGCUGGGCUCGCCGCCCAUAAAGCUCCCCGGUGAGCGCGGCCGCCUCCUCUUUGCUUCACUCGCCUCAUCCGAGACCGGCGGGCAGCUUAAUUUGCUGCACCUGGUACUAACUACUCUUGCUUGCACCUUCUGGUGUACAGUAUGUGGAUCUGCAGCUGUGUGUGUGUGUGUGUGUGUGUGUGUGUGUGUGUGUGUGUGUGUGUGUGUGUGUGUGUGUGUGUGUGUGUGUGUGUGUGUGGGUGUGUGGGUGUGUGGGGCUUUGAAGGUGAGAUGCAGCACUCUACCUGGUCCAGCCAGCUGACCCCUGGAUACCUCCCAGAAUGAAUCUGCUCCUCCAGCCACGGCCUCAGCCUCAGCCGGCCUGGUUGCUGCAUGCUGCGGUCCGAGCGUCAGGUGUGCAAGAGGAGCUGUUCAGUGCAGGCGCGUCACCAGCUUCACGAGACUUUCAGCAGUGACAGAAAAUUUCAAUGGAGCUCAGAUUAAAUCAGAGGUUACUCUGGGACACCAUUGCUCCUCCCCUGGAUUCUUCCAAUCAAAAACCUUCUUCACUGCUUAAGUGGCCUCUCCAAUUACAGGAAAUACAGUAAAUACUGUAUCUUGUUCUCAUGUGAGUGUAAAAGUGCAUAAAACUAUGAGCACUUUUUCACAGUUCUUCAAAAUAAAACAUGCGGUAAAUCAAAUGUACAAUAUAUCUGUAUUUGGUUUAAAUACAGGUCCAGUUUAAUUAAAGGUCCAGUGUGUAAGAUUUAGGUGAAAGAGA